rnacentral:rRNA from 1 species
GAUGAACGCUCGCUACAGGCUUAACACAUGCAAGUCGCGGGGCAGCAUGGGGGUUGCUUGCAAUCCCCGAUGGCGACCGGCGCACGGGUGAGUAACGCGUAUUCAACCUGCCCUUCACCACGGGAUAACCCGGCGAAAGUCGGACUAAUACCGUAUGUUGUCCAUUGACGGCAUCCGAUUUGGACGAAAGGCUUGGCGGUGAGGGAUGGGGAUGCGUCCGAUUAGCCAGACGGCGGGGUAACGGCCCACCGUGGCUACGAUCGGUAGGGGUUCUGAGAGGAAGGUCCCCCACACUGGAACUGAGACACGGUCCAGACUCCUACGGGAGGCAGCAGUGAGGAAUAUUGGUCAAUGGGCGUAAGCCUGAACCAGCCAAGUAGCGUGCAGGAUGACGGCCCUAUGGGUUGUAAACUGCUUUUAUGCGGGGAUAAAGUGGCCCACGUGUGGGCUUUUGCAGGUACCGCAUGAAUAAGGACCGGCUAAUUCCGUG